rnacentral:rRNA from 1 species
UACGAGGGGGGCAAGCGUUGUUCGGAAUUAUUGGGCGUAAAGGGCGCGUAGGCGGCUUGGCAAGUCUAGUGUGAAAUCUUCGGGCUCAACUCGAAGUCUGCACUGGAAACUGCCGGGCUUGAGUACUGUAGGGGCAGGCGGAAUUCCGGGUGUAGCGGUGGAAUGCGUAGAGAUCCGGAGGAAGACCGGUGGCGAAGGCGGCCUGCUGGGCAGUUACUGACACUGAGGCGCGACAGCGUGGGGAGCAAACAGG